GAAGGUCACGGCGAGACGAGCCGUUUAUCAUUACGAUAGGUGUCAAGUGGAAGUGCAGUGAUGUAUGCAGCUGAGGCAUCCUAACAGACCGGUAGACUUGAACCUUGUUCCUACAUGACCCGAUCAAUUCGAUCAGGCACUCGCCAUCUAUUUUCAUUAUUCAACUCUUUGACAACACGAAAAACCAUUGUUCAACUCUUUGACAAUAUGAAAAACCAAAAGCUCUGCCCUCCCCUCUAUCUAUCCAAGGGAUGGAAGGGCAG
rnacentral:rRNA from 1 species